rnacentral:rRNA from 1 species
GACGGGGGGGGCAAGUGUUCUUCGGAAUGACUGGGCGUAAAGGGCACGCAGGCGGGCUUUUAAGUGAGGUGUGAAAUCCCCGGGCUUAACCUGGGAAUAGCAUUUCAGACUGGGAGUCUAGAGUACUUUAGGGAGGGGUAGAAUUCCACGUGUAGCGGUGAAAUGCGUAGAGAUGUGGAGGAAUACCGAAGGCGAAGGCAGCCCCUUGGGAAUGUACUGACGCUCAUGUGCGAAAGCGUGGGGAGCAAACAGG